rnacentral:lncRNA from 1 species
UUCCAUCCGGACUUCAAGGCCAGUGGCUGGGUCUGGUUUUCUCAACACGGCCUCCUAGUCUCCUUCCCGCUUGGGCAUCUGUUUUUCUUAUAUAGACCCUGAAGCCGCCCGUGAUGUUCUGUAAGCAGGUUCCGCUUCAGAAUCAGAGGUACUUAAGAGGGAACCUGGAUGCUAGACCUGCCCUUGCUGCUGGCCUCAGUUUCUUUACCUGUAAAACAGGGAUUUUGGAACUGUUAAAUUAAAUCAAACUUAAAAGAAUUACAACUUAAAGCUGCUGGAACUUUACAUGAUCCCGAGCCUUGAGAGGAAUGUGGCUAUGCAGCCUGAGUCAUGUGGCAUGCAGAUGCAACCUCUGCCUUUUUCCGCUGUAAAUAAUUAAGAAGACCAAGUAGCAUCCAAGAGUCACCUAAGCUGAAGAUUCCCUUGAGAACAAGUACUGUCCUGUGGUUUCAUGGCCUUUCUUCCAUUUGUGGUUCUUGCCAAGCGGAAUUUAAAUGACAUCUUAUCAAGAUGGAUAAACCCUAGUUUCCCAGUGCUGGAAUAUAGAAAAUGGAUGGACAAGUAAAUCCCACUCAGCACCCAUAGCCCAGGCAUGGGGACCUCAACACAUUUGAGCCGCAGAGAUCACCUUUCAUUGUGAAUAGCUCUGAGAUGAUACUUCUGGUUGAAUGUCUUUUUGUCACUUCCGGCUGGAUCUACCAUGAAAGAUUUCUGAAUCCAGGAAGAGAGAUUGACUGGGCAACAUGUUAUUCAGACAGGGUCUCACUCUGUCGCCCAGGCUGGAGUGCAGUGGCAUGAUCUUGGCUCACUGUAGUGUAGACUUCCCAGCCUCAAGGGAUCCUCCCACCCCAGACUCCCAAGUAGCUGGAAUUACAGGUCUCAUGCUCUCACUCAGGCUGCAGUACAGUGGCACAACCUCUACUCACUGCA